CCUACGGGGUGCAGCAGUGGGGAAUAUUGGACAAUGGGCGAAAGCCUGAUCCAGCCAUGCCGCGUGUGUGAAGAAGGCCUUCGGGUUGUAAAGCACUUUCAGUGGGGAAGAAAGCCUUGGGGCUAAUACCCUCGAGGAAGGACAUCACCCACAGAAGAAGCACCGGCUAACUCCGUGCCAGCAGCCGCGGUAAUACGGAGGGUGCGAGCGUUAAUCGGAAUUACUGGGCGUAAAGCGCGCGUAGGCGGUCUGAUAAGCCGGUUGUGAAAGCCCCGGGCUCAACCUGGGAACGGCAUCCGGAACUGUCAGGCUAGAGUGCAGGAGAGGAAGGUAGAAUUCCCGGUGUAGUGGUGAAAUGCGUAGAGAUCGGGAGGAAUACCAGUGGCGAAGGCGGCCUUCUGGACUGACACUGACGCUGAGGUGCGAAAGCGUGGGUAGCAAACAGGAUUAGAUACCCGAGUAGUC
rnacentral:rRNA from 1 species